GAGAGAGAAUUGUGUGUCUUUCUGUUCAGAGAAUGUGAAUGCCACACUGGGUGACUCCUCCUCAGGAAGGGGAAGGGAAUCAAGGAGUACUGAUCUGUGGUUUAUCUUUGGUGCAGAGUUUGCCAGGACAAAUGUCAACGAGGAAGCAUCAACCUUUGUUUCCAGCAGCUGUCCACGAUCACUCUGUUUUAAUGAAUCUGAGCUGAAAUACAAAUAUUGAGCAAUUUCCUCGCUCUACCAGGAAGGCUGGAAAAAGUGGGGGGUAGAGUGAUGCUUCCAUAUGGUCAUGGUGUGCAGCAGAGCUGCUCAACUGCACUUUAAAGGAGCUGUUCUAACUUCACUGCCACAAGGAUACAGGGAGGCUUCACAGAUGGAAUUUGGCCUUGCACUGAUUAAAUAACCAUUUGUCUUCUUCGACAGUAGAAGAUGGGAAUGCCCUGUCUGAACAACGGUGCUUCCUCUCAUUCCCAGCUUCUCCUGGUGUCUGGUGCUGCAAGAAGGCUGAAAUCCUCCUGACUUCCUUCUGAACAUCGUUAGUAAAAGGGAGCUUUAGAGACUGGGUAUUGCCUGUGACUGACCCUCUAGAAGAGCAUAUUUAAGAAAGAUAUGUCUGAGCUCUCUGCUGGAGAUUGGUUGGUUGUCAAGUCCUUUCUGUGUCCUCCUAAGCCCCUGGAAGAUGCAGCUGCCACUAAUAGAGACAUGCAGAGUCUAUCUCAUGGCAAAAUUCAGGAGAACAAAGGGUCAUCAGGAUUAAAGGCUGCCAAAUCUAACACUGCACAUGCUCUUUCUCCAGCUCUGUGCACUUAUCAGCCGUGGCCUUCACACACACAAAGCCAUGUGGCUGAAGUGCAGAUAACUCAUCUUGUCUGGAGAGUUCAAGAUGUCCCACAGCCCCUGUUGGUGUCACAGCUCUACUCUGGUGCUCCUGCCCUUGCCCCAGGAGCUCACAGCACAUGCUGCUGCCUUUGAGCCAGAAAAGAAGAUAGAGAGGUGAAAACACACCCUUUUUUGGCUAUUUUUCAUGUUAUGCUACAAAACUCUCCAAGCUACACAGGAUGAACAAGACAAGAUUCAUGUUUUCCCAGAUUUAUAGAUGCCAAACCGUGUUCCAUGUGACUGACAUUCAUUCAUGUGCCAUGAGCUUGUCUUUUAUGGAAACAAGUUUCAUCUUUCCCUUGGUCCUGCAGCCUGACUCUGUGCUUUGCUCCUGGAGGAGCACCCAAUGUUUUCUGACACUGAGUCCCACCUGCCUUCUGUUUUCCCAGUCCCACCCCUUAUUAUGCAGAUAUUCAGCAUCACUUCUGGUUGAGACCAUUGUCAGUCCUCUCUGCAGCAGCCUGGAGAGGUGGGAUUUCCAUGGCUGUGUGAAAAAUCACAGAGGUUAAUGACAGCCUAGUGAGAACACAGCCCUUUCCUUAGAGCACUCCAUUUCCUUCACUUCUUCUCCAACCUAGCUUGCUGUAUGCAGUAAAUUUGCACAGGUAAAACAAAGUUGUCUUCUUCUGGGCUGCUUGUCUCUAUCAGUUUCCUCUGAGGUAAUAAACAAUUCUGAUUUCAGGUGUUUCAGCUACACUUCAUUCUCCAUGUGACCCCUGAAAUUCACAUUGUGCCCUCAGCCCUUCUUUAGAAGA